UACGGGGGGGGCAAGCGUUGUUCGGAAUUACUGGGCGUAAAGGGCUCGUAGGCGGCCAACUAAGUCAGACGUGAAAUCCCUCGGCUUAACCGGGGAACUGCGUCUGAUACUGGAUGGCUUGAGGUUGGGAGAGGGAUGCGGAAUUCCAGGUGUAGCGGUGAAAUGCGUAGAUAUCUGGAGGAACACCGGUGGCGAAGGCGGUUCUCUGGGCCUUACCUGACGCUGAGGAGCGAAAGCGUGGGGAGCAAACAGG
rnacentral:rRNA from 1 species